UAACAAUUUCCAAAUUGGGCUCGUGGAUUAUAUUAAUUAGCAGUUUGUAUUCGUUAAUUAGUUUGCCGGUUUCCUUUGCCUUUUGUUCUGGUCCUUUAUAAAAACAGGUUUCGUUAAACCGAACGUUGCGUAAAAUAAUAAUCUUGUCGAAAGACGGCACCCAUAUAUAAUAUAUUCUGGUAACUUUGUAGCCUACCAAAUACCCAACGUGGGAUCUUGGAUUCGUUUUAAACAUUACCCUGUUUUAAAUCUUUGCCCUGGCCGGAUUUAACACGUACGCCUUGCAGCCAUACGCAUAAGUCCCUGACCAAUCUGGGCGCAGGUCCUUCCCUAAUUCGAUAUGCAAAACCGGUGUAUAAUGCCUAAAAAAUCGCUGGAACUAUACCAGGAGGAUCUCAUUCGGACUAACCCCUUUUCUGCUUAUUGAAGGGUUUAUAUUAAUUAAAUAGGCUGCGGCUAUAACCACUUCUGGCCAAAAAGUGCUAGGUAGGUUGGCUGCUAAACGCAUUUUCAAUGCGCGCACGAUUACUUUUUGACCUGAACGCUUUAUCUGACCGUUAGGCUCGUGGGUAUCUGCUGGGGGAGUUUCUAUCUCGAUCCCCAAAUCUUUGCAGUGUUUUUAAUAAUACGUAUAUCCAACGUGUGCUACCAACGCGGGCUUAUUAUUAUGGAAAAAUUUGGCCAUUUGCAGGCCGUACUGCCUUAUUAACCACUGUUUAAACCCGAAAAUGGUAAUAACGAGUUCGCUACUGUUUUUCCCGGUGAGCGGAACAGCCGUUAGGCGACCCGUGUAUUUAUCUUUCAAUAGCAGUAAAUAUUUGUAUCCUGUCCCUAAUUUUUCAAAAUGAAAAAGGUUAAAAUAAAUUAUAUAAUACGGCCUGUAGGGCUCCUCCCGUAAACGCCUCGAAACUACCGUUUUCCCGUAUAUUUGCGCGCACGUAUCGCACUCCAAAAAUGCUGGUCUUUUAAUCUUUACACCCUUAGCCCGUUGGACCAGCGCGUUCAACGUUUCCGGGCCGAGGUGGCCGGCUCUUCUAUACCAAAUUAAUAAAUUAUCCUCUUUUUCGUCGUAUAUUCCCAUGGAACUUCCUUUUUGCAUGCGGGGGAUUUUUAUCCAACCGCUAAUCGCCUCGGAAGAAAUUAUACCUGCAAAACUCACAAAUAACGUAAAUGGGACGCGCAAAUAAUUGACAGGUGUCUUAUAUUGUAAAAAAAUUAUAUUAUUUCGUCGUUCCAAUCUGCAUAAUAAAAUAUUGUUUUCCCUGCUCCCCAUGCGGAUUAUGCAAUCCAACCCGUUAUACCACACGUUUUUAUCUUUUAAACGCGUUUCUGACACGAUAUUUACGUGGAAUCCCUUAACGUACGCCACAUUAUUUAAUUUUAACAUUCGUCCUUCGGUUAAAAUUCCCUUUAUUAUACGGGUACCGUAACUUAUAAUUCUAACGUUUUGGGUACCGUAUAACACCACGAACGCAUUAUUUGCUUUUGGCCUGCGCAAUAAUCCGGGAUCCAGCCGGUCGAUAUUAUUUACCAAAUAAAUGGAAUAACAAUUGUCGAACAAUAUACUGUCGUAAUAUUUGUGCUGGGACGUAUUUAUCGUAAAAACGCUUUCACUAUGGUUAUAAAAUGUUUGGAAGCCCGGAAGAUUUUCUCCAGGGUCGCGGUACAUUGCCAAAUAUGCGGCCGAAAUCGUUGCCGGUACGUCUUUAUUAUUGGAUGUGCUUUGCCUGCUUCCGUUCGUGGAACCCCAAAAUGCCGGGAUCGUUCCAAUUUAUAAAAACUUGGCCUUUAAAUCUUUCCAGCGCUCCUUCUUUAAUUUUUCUCUAAUUUGUUUACAUUCCGUUUGAAAAGGGGUUUUGCGAGGUCGUAUAACGGAACUAAUACCUUUUACGGCAAUUAGGAAUGCAUUACAUUUGUAAAUUUUCCAGGGAUGGUGAUUAGCGCCAUAAAGGCAUUCGUAAUUCGUCCGAUCCCUGUUCUGUUCCCCGUUAUGCGCACGGGUCGAACUCCGGUUGCGUUCCUGCGAAGGUCCGCCGAGCGUCGUAUAUAAUUUAGCGAAAUUGCUCCUCCCGCCGAUUAGGGGGUUAAUAAUUUAAUCGUUAAACGCACACCUAAACCACGUAAACGCGUAAUCCAGGGUAAUUUUGUAAUCCGGUUUGUUAAAUUCGUUCCGAACAUUUACGGCCCAGGAGGGUUGGAAACGCCCUCCCGCCUUUGCGAAGUCCCGGAUCGCUAAAUCUCUUUCGAAAUUAAUUAUCCGGUAUAUAAGGCCCUUUUCGUAUACCGCAUCGUAAAUUUUAAACCAAUUGGCCUUAUCGUUCGUGGUGCGCGUUAAUAUUAAUGCCGCACGGUAGUUCUUAAUGGCCUGCUUUUUGGCGUAUAAUUUUAAAAAUGCAAACUUUUUUUUAAACGUUUUAAUAAUUUCCUGGAACGUGUUCCAACCGUUGCGGUGUGCUGUAAAUAAAAUAAUGUUAAAAUAAAUGGGAUCGGUAUUUUUAAGGACCCCUUAAUGUAACAGGUUUACCUUUUUAAAUUCCUCGUUUAUAUAAUUAUCCAGCAUUUCUUAUUUUUUACGCGUUAUUUCCACGGCGUUUUUUAUUUCGGAGGGAAUAGGGUUUCCGGGUGCGACCGGUUCUUUAAUACCUUUAAAAACGGGGUGGUAAUUUUCCCGGAACUUUGCGGCGUAAUUUCGAAGGGUUUGUUUUUUUUAAAUGGUGUUACUGUCCCAAAUUUUGAGGUAAAUUUCGUAUAUUGCUCGUUUUAUAUGCUUAAGCGACUCGGUAACAAUUUCGGUAAGCUCUUUAAACGUUACGAGCUUUUCGGAGAUUUGUCGGUCGGGGUUUACCAAUUUCCAAAUGCGGAAAAUUUCGGCAUUUUGUCGGUAAAUUUUAAACCAUUUGGGCUAUCCAGUUUGUAAAUUUAGAACAUUCCCUGAUUUUUGGAACCUUUUAUUGUAAUUUAUAGUGAACGUUGGGGGUUUUGAGAGAAUAGGGGGUAUUUCUAAAAGUAGCCCAAUGGGUGUAGAGAGAGAGAAAGGAAUAGAAAAUUGUUAUAAACGCUAAUAGUGUGACUUCAUUUUCGCAAUUUGCGUAAAGUAGAGAUUGCAAUAGUCUACUGCUGUACCGGGCUCAUAACUAACGCACACUAACGUACACGUACAGCCAGAUUUAGUGGGUAGGAGAGCCAUAUAUUGGUGUAGGUAGUGCUAUUUGUGCUAGAACGCGUGUUGGGGCUUUUAUCGUGCUCCUAACGCUGACUCAGCGCUUGUUGUCAUGUGACGACAAAAUCUAUCUGAUUAUCUAAUGCAACAGGAUUUACGUCGAAAUAACGCUAAUAAUAACAACCAACGUAACGAUAACGACGUUAACCUUACCGGUAACCCCAACGACGAAUGUAACGACGUUAACCCUAUCGUUAACCCCAACGACGAACGUAACGACGACGUCACCCCUAUCCUUAACGGUCCUGCAGGUCCCGGAAACCUUACUACAACCCCUAUUCGCUCCGGUGCCCGCGGGGACCCUAACGGACUUAGGGCUGAUUUUGCCGUUAUUAACGGAACUUCUAAAUAUUAUUACGACGUACAAAUCGUUGCAAUUAGGAAAGAUUCCGCUAAUUCGGACCCGUUCGCUACGUUAACGGAA
rnacentral:sRNA from 1 species